UUUAAGCAUAUCACUCAGUGGAGGAAAGACAGGCAACUGCGAUUGCCCCAGUAAUGGCGAAUGAAUUGGCAACACAUCCUAUGUGGCUCAUCCUGAAGUGGUUUCCCUUCCAGCACUGUGCCCAUCUCUGAUGGUGCAUCAGCAUUGUGCGGUCGGCUACCGUGGAUUCCAGCAGAUGCUGUGGGCUGUGGAGUGGCCAGCAUGUUGUGAGUGAGGACUGUGCCAGGAAGGGCCCUGGAAUGGCCCACAACAGAGGGAGAGUGUCCCGUACCACCCGUGCACAGUCCCUUGCUUGUGGCAUGGCUGUCUGCAUCCAGGAGUAGAGUGGCUUGGGACUGCAGUUUGAAGUGCAAGGUGUAUCCAUUGCAAGGCAGAAUACUGACCUGGGACCGAUAGAGCACAAGUAGAGUGAUUGAAGGAUGCAAAGGACUUUGCAAAGAGGGUUAAAAGUCCCUGAAGCUGUGGCAGCAACGGCGGAGAGUGGAGCUGUGGAUGAUAUCUGACACCCAUGUCUGGCUCCACCCAAGGGGGAAGUGUGUGACACCACCACCAAGCCCUUGGGUGUGCUGUGUGCAGGAGCCAUGACAUCCGGGAAUGCCUUCCAAGCAACCUUGGGCCAGCCCAGCACUGGCCAGGAAGCCCUGUCCCCCAUGGGGAGGAUGACUACCCUGGCAGUGUCUGGUGACACACUGCGUGCCUGGGCCUGAGGCUGAGGAUUGUUGAAGAGACUGUUGUGAUCCCUGUGGUUGUGCCUUGUGAAAAAGGGAGGGCUGUGAUGCAGCAUGCUGACCUGUGCCAGAGCCCCUCUGUGGAGGCAGAAGCAGGCAGCCACCCUCCAGAGAGAGUGCAUACCAGGAGUGAGAGACACAGCUUUGUCAUCUGAGAGAGUAGCACAGACAAGGAACCCCUGGUGUGUCCCCGGACAUGCCAGUCACUGCGCCUGGCCUGGACUUGGGACUGGUGGCUGCAUGGUGGCUGCAUCACCUCAUGGCUGGUGGCUCCUGUGUGGCUGCCCUGGUCCCCCAGACAGAGUGUGGUGUGAGAAGCAGAGUGGAGCUUGGGCCAGCAGAGCCACCCUCUGCCCGUCUUGAAACACGGACCAAGGAGUCUAUGGAGCUUGCACAUGGUUGGAAGGUUCCCAAUGGAAGCCGCAGUGCAUGGUGAAGGCAACAGACCCAGAUGGUGAAUCCACAGGAAGGCCCUGCCCGGCUCUGUGUUGUUGGAUGGAGAGGAGGGGUGGCCUGUGUGAGAGCAUGACAGUCUUUCUGGAAUCCCUUGAGGUCUUGAGUGUGGUCACAUGGCCAGAGUGCAUGUGGAGCAGAAGCCCCCUGAGUCAGCCAGAGUGUCCCGUGGCAGGUGCCUGUCAGUUGGAGAGUGCUGCAUGGGACACCAGUCCUGAAGCCCUUUGGACAAGGUUCUGAGUGAAUGCAAGGUCCCUGGGACCCGAAAGGUGGUGAACUAUACCGUUCUAUGGUGAAGCCUUGGGAAACUGAGGUGGAGGCCAGCAGCUGUUCUGACGUGCAAAUUGUGUAGCCUGAGUGUGGCAUAGGGGUGAAAGGCCAAUCGAACCACCUAGUAGCUGGUUUCCUUCGAAGUUUCCCUCAGGAUAGCUGGGCUUGAAUGCAACCACCCAGAGAGGUUACGUCCGGUAAAGCAACGCAUGAGAGGCUAUUCCCUGGGGAGGUUGUCCUCCUCAACCUAUUCUCGAACUGUGAAUGGGCGUGAACACACCCAGAAUGCAAGCUCCUUCACUGUGCUGGAGUCUGUGCCUAGACAGUCCUCUGGCCUUCUGAGCAUGUUGGUCUGGUGGUGGCAGCCAGGGCCACAAGGACCCCAUAUUUCCCAAUGUGUGGAUCUCCAAAGCAGAGAGGCUGUGACAGAGCCCUCCCAGUGAUUGGAUUGGUUGUGAUAGCCAUGUGUGUGGGAUCUGUGCAGGAACCAAACAGGGGAGGCAGAGAUGGAGAGGGCAGUCACCUGGACAGAGCUGCCACCCCUUGGGAGAACAGACAGGCCUAUGUGGACCAUGAUUGGUAAGCAGUGCUGGUGAUGCGGGAUGCUCCGAGAGUGGACUUACAGGUCCAGAGUGCUGGCUCAUACCCAGAUCCCACAAAGGAUGUUGCUUGCUAGAGAUAGCAGGACGGUGGCCAUGAAGGUUGGAAUCCGCCAAGGAAUGUGUAACAACUCACCUGCCGAAGCGUGCAGCUCCGAAAAUGGAUGGUGCCCAAGUCAGUGAAGCUGAAUUUGCCUUAUAGUCCACUGCCACUGUGGCAGCAACAAGCAGAGCAUUGGCAUGUAGAAUGGACAUGGGAGAUUGCAGUGCCUGCUGGGGUUACCCCUGGCUUGAGUGUCUCCUGGCGCAGAUCUUGGUUGCAGUAGCAAGUACUCCAUCGGGUAAGGCGCAGAACAACCCCUGCUGUGUGUGGUUGAGGACUGGAGUGGAGCAGGUUUCCACAACAAACAGCCGUUGAAUGUGGGUCAGCCGAUCGUGAGCCAAGUGGUAAAUUCACUGAACAACCAAAGCUGCUGUGUGUGCCCCAGUGUGACACCUCACCUCUCCCUCUCUGGGCUGGGGGUCUGGGGCAGGGCCUCCCCCUUCCAAGCUGUGGGACUGUCUCUGCUGCCUGACAUGGCCCUGUGCACAAGCAACCAAGGAGGCCCGGGCAUGGAUCACAGCAGCAGGACCACAGGGGGGGACACAGGCCCACACCCACCCCACCAGGGAGAGAGCAGGAGUCUCUGAGGAUGCAAUGGCAGGAAUGGCAAACAGGCAAGCAGGUGCAACAUUCUGCUGCAAUGGGCCUGGGGUGCCCUUGAUACUGAGUGGAGACACUCCAUUGAUUGCUGGAUCAAGCAGGCCUAGGGGCAGUGGACCCCCUGAGGAGUUCUCUUUUCCUCCUGAUGCAGGUUCAUGUGGGCUGUUGAAUGGCAUGACAGAUGGUGGCAUACGCCCUCCACCCAGCAGGGCAGCAAUCUCAAAUGUUGGUACAGCUGAUGGUCUCUCUGUGUGACAAAGGCCCUGUGGUUUGCAGUCUCUGUGUGUGCAGGCUUACAAGAGCAGUUCCCCUGACACAAGAGGCUGGGCCUCUGGUGCCCCUCAGUCACCUAUCUCUGGCAGUCACUGGCUCCAAUGAAAGUCCUGUGUGGACCAUGUGCCCCUAACCCCUCGGUUCUCGUACUGAAUCACCGCAGCUGGUCUCCUCGGCUAGACACCGCUAGUCCACAGACUGAAUGCAGCUAAGGGAAGUCGGCAAACUAGCUGUGUACCUUUGGAAGAUGCAGUGGCUCCAGAGGCCAAGCCACGUUGGGUCCCAUUAAGUCCUUCUACUGCCCAUGGAAACACAAGGUGGAUGGUAUGAGUGGAGACAACCUCCAUUGGUCCUGUCUUGCUUACAAAGCUGUCUCCGUGCCUAGACGUUGCCUCUGGAAUGGUGCUGUUCAUGGUGAGUGGCCGGUGCAGGGGUUCUCCUCUCACCACUAGAGUCACUCCUCCCAGGUGUCUACAUGGUGGCCCAUAUGGAACUGAUGCUGUGCAGGGGAAUCUGACUGUUUAAUUGAAACCCAGCUUUGUGAAGGGACCAGCUGGCUGGUUCCAUGAGGUGACUUCUGCCCAGUGCUCUGAUUGUCACCACGAAGAGAUUCAGUGAAGCGCGGGUAAACGGCGGGAGUAACUAUGACUCUCUUAAGGUAGCCAAAUGCCUCGUCAACCAAUUAUUGACGCGCAUGAAUGGAUCAACGAGAUUCCUGCUGUCCCUAGGUGCUGUCUGGUGAACCAACCGCCAAGGGAACGGGCUUGGAUGUGUCAGCGGGGAAAGAAGAGCC
rnacentral:rRNA from 1 species